AUUGAACGCUGGCAGCAGGCCUAACACAUGCAAGUCGAACGAGUGGCGGACGGGUGAGUAAUGUCUGGGAAACUGCCCGUUGGAGGGGGAUAACUACUGGAAACGGUAGCUAAUACCGCAUACCAUCGGAUGUGCCCGGAUGGGAUUAGCUAGUAGGUGGGGUAACGGCUUACCUAGGCGACGAUCCCUGGCUGGUCUGAGAGGAUGACCAGCCACACGGGAACUGAGACACGUUCCAGACUCCUACGGGAGGCAGCAGUGUGGAAUAUUGCACAAUGGGCGCAAGCCUGAUGCAGCCAUGCCGCGUGUAUGAAGAAGGCCUUCGGGUUGUAAAGUACUUUCAGCGAGGAGGCGUUACUCGCAGAAGAAGCACCGGCUAACUCCGUGCCAGCCGCCGCGGUAAUAC
rnacentral:rRNA from 1 species